UCAAUGCAUAGUUUUUAGCAUAACAUCUUGACUCCUCGAUAAUUAUAUCCGUUUGGAGCCUACGCAGAAUUAGCCUGAAUUGCAUGGUAACUGCUGCUUUAAAUUUUUAAAAAUUACUCAUAAUUUUCCCAAAGAUUACCAAGAUCUCGAGUGCACAAUGUCAUCAGCGUAAUGAGGAGUAAACAUUUAUGCUAAUAAUCUGCAAUUUUUUCCAUCAGCUAUAAAGAGGGGAAAUAAAGCUGGAAUUUUCAGUCAUAUUCUGAACAGUGCUGUUAUAGCACUUAGCACUGCAAGGGAAACAGUUUAUGGGACUGAGACUCAGAACUAAUGCACCUGGAUUCCUAUUUGAUGUAUUUUUAUCUCACUAAAGAGGGAAUAUAUGAACCACCUCAAAUGUCUUCAAGAUUGUUAUUGGUAUGAAGUGGCCAGACAAACCAGGGAGGAGUACUUAUUUUCAUCGCUGUAGGACCAGUCAGAUAAUGGACCAACACUGGAUUUGGUGUUCCAGCAUGGAUUCAGCAUCUGACACCCGCCCAUCCAAAGAGCACUACCCCAGAAAGACAUUGGUGCCGAGGUUAUGGUAUCACUCACCUGAUCCUCUGAGCAGAGGCGGCGCCGGUGGUGGGGGAACGAGUGAGCGGGCUCUCUCUCUCUCUGUGUGUGUGUGUGUCAGGUGGAAGCCAGGCUGGGCCGCCCGCAGCUGGGUCACCGGUGGUGUGGAGGGAGAGAUGCUCUGACAGCCAGAGACCGAUCCCUCAUUACAGCAGCAGCAGGGGUCAAGGCGAGGAGGCGAGCGUCCCACCUGCCUGAAAUUGGCCAUAAAAAUGACCAAUUACACAAGACUUCUGCACCAAGAGAGAAAGAGAGGGAGAGAGAGAGAGAGAGAAAAGAGAGAGAGAAAAAUGUCUUGAUAUAUGGUGGUUACUUAAUGCAUCAACAAAAAUGAAGAAACCUGCAGCGCACCCUUUGAGUUUUUUUUUUACCCAGGCGAGGCCAAUGGCUUACAUCACUAAAACAAAAAUUCAGAAGCCAAAAAUCAACUGUGAAUUAAAAAAAAAAGUCAACAAAUCAAAAUCCAUGAAAAUCAUUGCUGAACAAAACCACGUGGCAGUAGUAUUCCAAACAGCUGGAUCAGAGACUGGGACCCAUUGAUGUGGGCAAAGGGUGAAAGGAGUGGGAGAAGAGAACAGCGCUGUGUAAUAUGACAUGGCUGGGUAAACUAUUUACGUUGCCUCCUCUGCUCCAUAUUAAGACAAUGCGUGAUUAAAUGCCAGCAAAUGCGUGCAGGGGUUGAAUUAAUGGCCUGGUAAAUGAGAAACAUGCAAAUAUCCCAAUUAAACAAUUUGCUGUGGUGGCCGAGGCUCUGGCGGGUUCAGCUGCAGCCGAGGGCCUUGGGAGCAGUGCUCCUUUUCAGGGUGUUUUUUUUUUUUCUUUUUCUUUUUUUUUUGGUGAAGAGUUAAGUCUCCAACAAAGACAGGAAGGAGGUCAGCACUCAGCCAACACCUGAAUGCGUGCACUCCCUUUUUUGUGUGUUCCCCUUGAUCCCCACAGUCCGUGCCUGUCAUUAGUGUUAAUGAUGGAAAAUUGUCAUGUUGAUACAAGUCUCCCUCUCUCUCUUGCCGCCCCCCCCCCCCCCCCCCCCCCCUCGUAGAAGUAGUAGGUGGAAGCUCCAUUUAUUACAAAGUUCUUUGUGACUAAAAGCCAUGGACAGUGCAUUUGUGCUGGAGAAGAGAAAAGGGUCUAGAUGCUCUUUCCAUAGCUGGGAUAAUUAUUCCCACUGUGACCUUAAUGAUCCGCACUGUUCCCCUGCACCUCAUCCACGCGCCAGGCCCUCUCUACAGCCCCGUGUCAGGAAUAUGAAAAACCCCUAUAAUGAAACCAUUUUGGCUGAUGGAAAAGGGCUACUGAAGCUGCACUUGCUACAAAGACGGCUCAAUUAUAUGAGUAAUUGUGAUAAUUUUCCUUCCAUUCACAGCUCUUUCUGAAAGGAAAAACAGAGAUGCUGGAAGGGAAAUUACACAGACAAUGUGGAGUGUGAAAUGGUUGCACGGAAAAUGACUGAAGAAAGUGUAAGACUAUAAAUAAAUAUGUUAAUGUAAGCCUUAUAAAUACACAAUCAAAAACGUAACAAACAAAGCCCUGGGGAUAAACACACACACAAGCACACAGACAUACACAGACAUAGAUACACACACACACACACACACACA